rnacentral:tRNA from 1 species
GCCUGGCUGGCUCAGUCGGUGGAGUGUGUGGCUUUUGAUCUCAUGGUUGUGAGUUCAAACCCCACGUUGGGUG